UGCUAUUGUUUUGGUAUAAUG
ensembl:piRNA 21ur-13208 ncRNA